GAUUUGGCACCUAGGGAGGCAUCCGGUCUUGGGAUGUCGAUCCUGGCGUCUGCAACCUUGAUGAACAGCUCAAGGUCUUUGUGUCCCGACACUCUGCCACCUUCUCCAGCAUUGUGAAAGGCCAGCGGAGCCUGCACCACCGUGGAGACAACCUGGAGACCCUGGUCCUCCUGAACCCAUCAGACAAGUCCCUGUGUGAUGAGUGUUCACCCCCUCCCUCAGCUCCGGAACCUUCUGUUGGACCCUGCCUCUCACAAGCUACUGGUGUUGGCUGGGCCCUGCCUGGAGGAGACGGGGGAGCUGCUGCUACAGACAGGGGGCUUCUCGCCUCACCACUUCCUCCAGGUCCUGAAGGACAGAGAGAUCCGGGACAUCCUGGCCACCACGCCCCCACCUGUGCAGCCGCCCAUACUCACCAUCACCUGCCCCACCUUCGGUGACUGGGCUCAGCUGGCACCCGCUGUGCCCGGCCUUCAGGGGGCGCUCCGGCUCCAGCUGCGGCUGAACCCCCCAGCGCAGCUGCCCAACUCUGAGGGACUGUGCGAAUUCCUGGAGUACGUGGCUGAGUCUCUGGAGCCGCCGUCC
rnacentral:sRNA from 1 species